rnacentral:rRNA from 1 species
UACGUAGGGGGCUAGCGUUGUUCGGAAUCAUUGGGCGUAAAGGGCGCGUAGGCGGCCGAUCAAGUCGGAGGUGAAAUCCCUCGGCUCAACUGAGGAAUUGCCUCCGAUACUGUUCGGCUUGAGUCCUGGAGAGGGUAGUGGAAUUCCCAGUGUAGCGGUGAAAUGCGUAGAGACUGGGAAGAACACCAGUGGCGAAGGCGGCUACCUGGACAGGUACUGACGCUGAAGCGCGAAAGCUAGGGGAGCAAACAGG